rnacentral:rRNA from 1 species
UACAGAGGAUGCAAGCGUUAUCCGGAAUGAUUGGGCGUAAAGCGUCUGUAGGUGGCUUUUAAGUCCGCCGUCAAAUCCCAGGGCUCAACUCUGGACAGGCGGUGGAAACUACCAAGCUGGAGUACGGUAGGGGCAGAGGGAAUUCCGGUGGAGCGGUGAAAUGCGUAGAGAUCGGAAAGAACACCAACGGCGAAGCACUCUGCUGGGCCGACACUGACACUGAGAGACGAAAGCUAGGGGAGCGAAUGGG